rnacentral:rRNA from 1 species
GAUGAACGCUGGCGGUAUGCUUAACACAUGCAAGUCGAACGGACUCUUCGGAGUUAGUGGCGGACGGGUGAGUAACGCGUGAGAAUCUGGCUUUGGGUUCGGGACAACCACUGGAAACGGUGGCUAAUACCGGAUGUGCCGAGAGGUAAAAGAGAAAUUGCCUGAAGAUGAGGUCGCGUCUGAUUAGCUAGUUGGUGAGGUAAAGGCUCACCAAGGCAGCGAUCAGUAGCUGGUCGGAGAGGAUGACCAGCCACGCGGGGACUGAGACACGGCCCAGACUCCUACGGGAGGCAGGAGUGGGGAAUGUUCCGGAAUGGGCGAAAGCCUGACGGAGCAAUACCGCGUGAGGGAAGAAGGCUCUUGGGUUGUAAACCUCUUUUCUUAGGGAAGAACAAAAUGACGGUACCUAAGGAAUCAGCAUCGGCUAACUCCGUG